UUUCCGUAGGUGAACCUGCGGAAGGAUCAUUAUCGAGUUUGAUUGUUUAUCGCAAUCAUCUCCCACCCUUUGUGAACCUUUAAACCGUUGCUUUCACCGAUCGUUUCUUGAUUGGACCUUUGGUCUCUUCGACUGAAGUGUAUCGGUGAAGGGAUUUUAAACUCUGUUUAAUUAUGAAAGCUGAACACAACUUGAAAAAAUUAAAACCUUCAACAACGGAUCUCUUGGUUCUGGCAUCGAUGAAGAACGCAGC
rnacentral:misc_RNA from 1 species